rnacentral:rRNA from 1 species
AACGAACGCUGGCGGCAGGCUUAACACAUGCAAGUCGAACGCCCCGCAAGGGGAGUGGCAGACGGGUGAGUAACGCGUGGGAAUCUACCCAGAUCUUCGGAACAACACAGGGAAACUUGUGCUAAUACCGGAUACGCCCUACGGGGGAAAGAUUUAUCGGAUUUGGAUGAGCCCGCGUUGGAUUAGCUAGUUGGUGAGGUAAUGGCUCACCAGGGCGACGAUCCAUAGCUGGUCUGAGAGGAUGAUCAGCCACACUGGGACUGAGACACGGCCCAGACUCCUACGGGAGGCAGCAGUGGGGAAUAUUGGACAAUGGGCGAAAGCCUGAUCCAGCCAUGCCGCGUGAGUGAUGAAGGCCUUAGGGUUGUAAAGCUCUUUUAGUGGGGAAGAUAAUGACGGUACCCACAGAAAAAGCCCCGGCUAACUUCGUGCCAGCAGCCGCCGUAA